AUGCUUGUUCUUGGAUACAUUUCUCCUCGUCCUGCCAUUUUUGGCACUGUGAGUGGGCUCAUAAAGAUGAUGGGGUUUAUGAUGUUCAUGAAUACCCAAGUUUUCACGAGAGUGGUUUCUAUUUCUUUCUGCCAAAUUUUAUUUUUCUGUUCACUCACGCCCCCUCCCAUCACCACCCUUUGGCACGUCAAAUUCAACUUCACGAGCGGUGCACGGGAAAAGCGAUGUAUUUACGGCUGGUUCUUUAUUUCAAUUAAUAAUUAUGAUAGACUACAGAAAAAUCAUACAUUUGGGGAAAGGGGAAAAAGGAAAACAGGAGCAGGGAAAAGGAGGUUCUACUGCUGCAGUGGAAAACAACGCAUUUAUCUCAUGUAUUGUGGGCCACAAAUGCUUCUGAAACCAACCUGUCCAGUUUGCUGCUACAUUUGCUCCCCUGAGCAUGAAUCUGCUGCAUAGAAUUUACUCUUCUGCUUGGUCCUGUAAAGCCCAGCAACAGCGGCUCCUUCCAAAGCUAUUCUGAGCUUCUCACCACGACAUUUUACCUUUUCUUCACAUUAAAAUGUAAUCUACAUAGUCCUAAGACCUUCUUUAUUACCCAAGGUUGUUCUAUUUUCUUAUCAGAUACACUGGGUAUCACAAACAGCCCCAAAACACUGCCCCAAGGAUACAGAAUGACAAACAGCCACGGCCAUAUAUUCUGAUUUCGUACAGACAUACACCCGCUGGAACCUCCUGGAAUAACAAACAUGUUUCCCUUGACCACUCCAGUCACUUACACAAAGAAGAACUAGAGAAGGUUCCUGAAUAUUCUGCCCAUGCUUUCGGUGUAAGUUACUAAGUAAAUGACAUUGUUAGAGCGUUUAAUGCUACUGCUUCACUGCUCCUCUAGCACCUGUCCAGCCAAUGCCUGACAGAAGAAGAUAAAUACAUUUAUAAUACACAGCAAAGUGAAUAACAAAGAGUUUAUAUAGUUGUCUCUGACAAAACUGACAAGUCAUAGCUGGCAGCUUUAAUCAGCUCCCAGCUGAGCCUGGGAAAUUGGAGGCAACAGAGCACUGACCUUUCUGAUGAAUUUCUGAAGGGAAGGUUAAAGUUUUGUUUACUUUUUUAAUAGGAAGAGGUAUCAGGUUCAAAGACCUUUGGAUAAAAGCGAGAUUCCUGAGCAAGAGGACUGUACCCAACAUUUAACAAAGUAAUUAUAGGUUUAUCUAAAACUCAUUUUUCAAAUAAAAGGAUAUGGUGUAAAGUUACA
rnacentral:lncRNA from 1 species